ACAAAUUAUGAAUCUACGUAGGCUACAAAAUGCUCAGUAACGAAAAAAAAAUUGAUUACUGACUGGAGGAAGGCAUGCCUCAGUAAAUGUAAUGCUUCUGAAAUUAGGAUCAGCCCAUUACAGAAUGACCUAUAUUACAACAAAUAUAAAAACUAGCUGUAGGAUAUUCUUAAAAAAAAUUUGUGGAUGGUAGAUGAAGUACUUUGCGGUGCUCUGUUAUAUAUCGUGCAAUUUAUUUUAUAUAGUAAAGUGAUUAUGUCUAGUACUGUGAUCAAACUUAACUGUUAAAGCCUCUGUAUCUGACAUUACACAUUUUUGACAGUUCAUAACAGGUACAUAAACAGAAAUGAGCUCUUAGUUACAAUCUCUCUCCUAAUGCUUGCAUCAUUUACGUAGCUGCAGACCUUGUCCAGGAAACCAAAGAGCUCAUGCUGGCGUACAUACACUACCGAUUAGAUAGUCUGUCAAACUAAUAACCUAGGCACAUUUAAGAAAGUUAGGAAACAAAGUGGUGCUAAAGAAAUGUCUGCAUAUAAAAGUAACAUGAGAUGUCUGCUCUGUGGAUGUGGCGUUAUCUCUCUAAUCCCUGGAUGUAUCCUGUGAAGCUUGAAUACAAUUAAGACCUGCUAACACAGUGGACAUUUUUUUAGCAUGAACUAUGGGGCUGCAGAUAGCAUAUAAAUAUAAACACACUUGGUAUACUAAUGAUUGUGGAUCACCCUCUUCACUUGUGUUUCUGUCAAGUGUGAAGAGUUCAUGGGGAUUGGUUGUAUCAGUUCUUUUCACAGGGGAAUUAAGCUGCAUUCAAAAUGCUACAGGAGGUAACGCAGAGUCAGCAAGUCGCAGUGCCCUUCUCAGUCCUCUUAAAUCAUGCUCUGAAGGAGGGAUGUAACAGAAAUAGCAUUAGCCAGAAGUGAACACUUCAUAUCAAAUACUCAAGCUGAAUCUUUGCCCAAUUUCCACACCAAUUCCAAAUGUGCUAUCAGAUUAGAAUUUUGGAGGGUUUUGUCAUCCAUUUUGUGAUUCUUGCAGAAACAGGACUGUGAGAAAAACUCAUCAGCCCCAGGAAAUGGAGUCAGUGGAGUCACUCAACUGCAAUAUGCAAAUUCUGAAAACUUAGUUCUCUCAGCUUCCUAAAGCUCAGGCUGUACAGCUGAGCCAGAGCCAUGUGACUGUGAGUCUGCCCAGCUCUUGCUAAAAUGGGUUCUCCCUGGCUAUCUCCAGCACACAUUCUGUUCCCACAGACUGAGCCUGUCAUCACCAGCUGUACCACCUGCUUGGGCUCCUGGGCCCUUUGCAGCUCCUCCUAUUACUGAGCCAUUUACUAGUAAUAGCCUCAUCCUGGCACUGAGACAAGGCAAUCAGGGAAGAUGCUGGUUCUUUCUAGAUCUAAAGAACAUGAUAUCCCUUCUGAGGCUUUAAAGGGUGCUGAUAUCACCCCUCUGCCAGUUCCACCUCUCCCCACAAGCACAGUCCUAGACAUGCUCUAGACCCUUACACAUACCUCUCCUCAGAUCAUCCUUGCUCUGAAGUAUGAACAGAAGCCUCAAAUGCUCAGCUGCAGAAAGGACAGAGCAAACCCACACUGGGCUGUCUGAUGCAACCCACCAAGCUGCAGGCUCCCAUUGAUACUACACUAGCCAGGAAAGUGUGUCAUAAACUGAACCCCACUUGCUGCUUUCCUUGGAGAUGUUUGGGGUUCUUCUGGGAACAGCUAUGGAUUUGCUGACUGUAGUUCUGUCAGUACAGCUGACAGAAGCCCCCAGCUACUUGUGGCUUCUCCAGCUGGAGGAAGAGCUGAAGAUGAGGAAGUCAGCUAGGUUGUAGUGAGGAGGAUGGUGUCCAAGGUGCUCAUUUAGCCAGACCAAAUCAGCUAGGUUGUAGUGGGGAGGGUGGUGUCCAAGGUGCUCAUUUAGCCAGACCAAUUCUGAUGUGAAAUUACACACUUAGCUGUAAAUGGGAAAAAAAGCUUCCCAGGAAAAUCUGCUUUUGCCAUUCUUCCAUUUUGACCUGGGCAAGGCUGGACAGGCUCUGCUCUUCAAGGGAGAGAUGUGGUUAAAAAGGAAGAGCAAGGACUACACUGUAGGGCAGGACUGUCUUCCCAUUAUAGGCUCAUUCUUCCACAGGCAAGGGGGAAAUGGCUGAUGGCCUGCAGACAUUUCUUAUACAAGCGAUUUUUUAAAAAAAUAUACAAAAAAUCACUGCCCAAAGGAAAGAAGAAAUUCCCUCACUUGUACAGGUGAUGGUGCAAUACAGUGAAGGAUCCAUUAAAAAAAAAUUACAAGCGAUUUUUUAAAAAAAUAUACAAAAAAUCACUGCCCAAAGGAAAGAAGAAAUU
ensembl:lncRNA